GCAGUCGUGGCCGAGUGGUUAAGGCGUCUGACUAGAAAUCAGAUCCCCUCUGGGAGCGUAGGUUCGAGUCCUACCGACUGCG
rnacentral:tRNA from 1 species